rnacentral:lncRNA from 10 species
CUGGGGAGGACCCUGCUGGGUUUCGAGGAGGUGGAAACUGGACCCACAGGAAAAAGGAGUGCUGGGACUCUGUGCGGGGAGGAGGGACGCUCCUGCUCUAUGCCAACCCCCGCCCCAUCCCUGGCAGAUAUCCAGGUUACAGAAUGAGAGUCUGUAGUGCGACAAAAAGAAUGAGCCACUGGUACUCCACACCCAUCAGCCUGCUGGAUCUCCCGGGGAGUUACGCUGGUGAGCGAAACCAAUCCCAAAGAUCACAGACGGGGGAUCAAUUUCUCCAAAGGACAGAGGAGAGAAAUGCAGGACUCAUUAGCUGUGCCCAGGAGUUAGGGAGGCGGCGGGUGUGUGGCUAUAAAAACGCAACCCGGGGGGUGCCUGUGAAGGAAAUCUGCGUCCCGCAGAACGCAACACGCCGUUGGGAUACUGGACCGUCCUUUGUGAGAUGCCACCAUUGGGGGAAACCGGAUAUGCAUGGCUCCAAGGAAAAA